UACAGAGGGUGCGAGCGUUGUCCGGAAUCACUGGGCGUAAAGGGCGCGUAGGCGGCUUGAUAAGGUUGCGGUGAAAGCCCGGGGCUCAACCCCGGGUCGGCCGUGGCAACUGUCGAGCUGGAGCACUGUAGAGGCAGGUGGAAUUCCGGGUGUAGCGGUGGAAUGCGUAGAGAUCAGGAAGAACACCCGUGGCGAAGGCGGCUCUCUGGAACGCAACUGACGCUGAGACGCGAAAGCGUGGGGAGCAAACAGG
rnacentral:rRNA from 1 species